rnacentral:rRNA from 1 species
ACGUACACUCCUGCGGGAGGCAGCAGUGGGGAAUUUUGGACAAUGGGCGAAAGCCUGAUCCAGCCAUGCCGCGUGCAGGAUGAAGGCCUUCGGGUUGUAAACUGCUUUUGUACGGAACGAAACGGCCUUUUCUAAUAAAGAGGGCUAAUGACGGUACCGUAAGAAUAAGCACCGGCUAACUACGUGCCAGCAGCCGCGGUAAUACGUAGGGUGCAAGCGUUAAUCGGAAUUACUGGGCGUAAAGCGUGCGCAGGCGGUUAUGUAAGACAGUUGUGAAAUCCCCGGGCUCAACCUGGGAACUGCAUCUGUGACUGCAUAGCUAGAGUACGGUAGAGGGGGCUGGAAUUCCGCGUGUAGCAGUGAAAUGCGUAGAUAUGCGGAGGAACACCGAUGGCGAAGGCAAUCCCCUGGACCUGUACCGACGCUCAUGCACGAAAGCGUGGGGAGCAAACAGGAUUAGAUACCCUGGUAGUCCCAUGA